AAGUCGUAACAAGGUUUCCGUAGGUGAACCUGCGGAAGGAUCACUAGUGAUUAAACGGGAAGCGUCUUAACUGACCUUCUCACCCUUCACAUCCACAUACACCCUGUGAACUGUUUGGCUUCAACUCUCGAGUUGGGCUCUCCUAUCGAUAGAUUAGCAAUAGUCUAGCGAGAAGAGGGUUCGUCUCGAGAGGCGGGAGUCAUCAUUUUUAUACAUACACAAAGUCUAAUGAAUGUAAACGUUUUAUAUAAACAAAAUAAAA
rnacentral:misc_RNA from 1 species